rnacentral:siRNA from 1 species
UACAUGUGCUUGUUCUGUAU